rnacentral:rRNA from 1 species
GUACCUGCGGAGGGAUCAUUACACAAAUAUGAAGGCGGGCUGGAACCUCUCGGGGUUACAGCCUUGCUGAAUUAUUCACCCUUGUCUUUUGCGUACUUCUUGUUUCCUUGGUGGGUUCGCCCACCACUAGGACAAACAUAAACCUUUUGUAAUUGCAAUCAGCGUCAGUAACAAAUUAAUAAUUACAACUUUCAACAACGGAUCUCUUGGUUCUGGCAUCGAUGAAGAACGCAGCGAAAUGCGAUAAGUAGUGUGAAUUGCAGAAUUCAGUGAAUCAUCGAAUCUUUGAACGCACAUUGCGCCCUUUGGUAUUCCAAAGGGCAUGCCUGUUCGAGCGUCAUUUGUACCCUCAAGCUUUGCUUGGUGUUGGGCGUCUUGUCUCUAGCUUUGCUGGAGACUCGCCUUAAAGUAAUUGGCAGCCGGCCUACUGGUUUCGGAGCGCAGCACAAGUCGCACUCUCUAUCAGCAAAGGUCUAGCAUCCAUUAAGCCUUUUUUUCAACUUUGACCUUCGGAUCAGGUAGGAAGCCGGGUUC